rnacentral:lncRNA from 1 species
ACACGUGCCUGCACAAUGAGCGCCAUUCAGUCCAUUCCUAUGGUCCCCUUCCUAUGCUUGUCUCGUUUUCAAAAAAUUCUGAUGCCUGUGCUUCCAUUUUUUGGCUCUUGCGUUGACUCCCUCACUUCUUCUUGCAUCUACUCCAAUCCCUCGCAUCCUUUCUGGACUACUUUUUUGUUGGCCAUGGACUGAACUGUGCUCUCUGCGGCUUCGUGUGUGAAAGGAUUUUUUUUUUAAUGUCGGCAUAAGAUGACAUUGGAAGUCGACAUCUUGCAUCGCUUGGUCCAUCGAGUGGUCCAUAUUUGUGCUCAACAUCAGACUGAUUUGCCUUUGGGUAAGGAAUGUCAUAUUCGAUCUCAUCAGUGCCUCACUGGAAAACUAGCCUAAUUUUUCUGCCUCCUAGCUGAGGUUUUCAUUUAGACCUGACACCAUUUCUUAGUCAAUAAACCACUGCAUUUGUGUUAUGGAAGAACGUGUACAGUGUUUUGCAAGGUUUAAAAGGAGUUAACUUAAAGAACAUACUACUCACCUUCGUGUUGCUGGCAGACCCAUAAAACAACCUUUUUCUUCUUGUG